rnacentral:tRNA from 1 species
ACUUUCUUAGUAUUUAAGUACAUUUGACUUCCAAUCAUAAAGAUCUGGUAUUAACCCAGAAGAAAGUA